UACGUAGGGUGCAAGCGUUGUCCGGAAUUAUUGGGCGUAAAGAGCUCGUAGGCGGUCUGUCGCGUCUGCUGUGAAAACUCGGGGCUUAACCCCGGACUUGCAGUGGGUACGGGCAGACUAGAGUGUGGUAGGGGAGACUGGAAUUCCUGGUGUAGCGGUGGAAUGCGCAGAUAUCAGGAGGAACACCGAUGGCGAAGGCAGGUCUCUGGGCCAUUACUGACACUGAGAAGCGAAGGCAUGGGGAGCGAACAGG
rnacentral:rRNA from 1 species